rnacentral:lncRNA from 1 species
UCAUCAUCGACUUGAGAGGUGGGAAAUUGUGGAGAAAGAUCACAAAAGUUGUCUUGUGAUUCAUUAGAACAAUCAUAAGAGGGAUGAUCAAGCCACCAUUUGGGAUCGUAUGGAGAAGAGUGAAAAUCUGAGUCUGGAGAGAAUUGAUUUUCCACCAUGGAAUCGUAUAGAGAAGACUAAAUGUGCAGCAGGAGUAUGCAACGAAGGGAAUUUAGAAAAUAUGCAAC